CUCAUUUUUUAAUGACUUAAGCUUUAUUGCUGAAAGGUUUUGUUGUUUUAAUAUUGGAGGUCUUUUUCUUUGGAAGGAUUCCCUUAAAUAAUUUAAACAAAUCAUUUUGAAAAUGUUCCUCAAUAAAUUGAUGAGAGAUCCGAUGCCUGAAGUUUUAAUGCAUGCUUUCUCCUCUAACAUUUCACAUUGUACUAAUCAUAGGUCAUAAUACUUACUUGUCCUAGAAUUUUCCAUAAAUGAAAAGCACAAUUUGAACUGUUGUGAACACGGGCCAAUCUGAAGAUUAGUAGUUUCUGCAGAUACAAGAAUGACAAAUAUAUUUUUAUUUUCUUUAUUCACAAAAAUAAACAUACUGUUCACAUUGUUUUGUACCUUAUAUCACUCAAUAUAUAUAUUGAACCUGUUCAGAUAAGUGCAGUUUCCUCAUUCUUCCCUACAACUGUAAGUAAUCCAGAGUGUGCAUGUACUCCAGUUUAUUAACUUGUCCUCAGUUGAUGAGCAAUUACUUGUUUCCAGUCUUGCUGUUAUAAACAUUAAGGCAAGGAAUGACCGUAUCAGAAGUUGUUUCAUCUGUGUACUGGUAUAUCUGUGGAAUAAGCUUCCUAUAGGAGUUGCUUGGCCAAGGAUGUACACAUUUGGAACUUUGAUAUGUAGUGCCAAAUUUCCCCCUGAAGUGUCUAUUGUCUAUUUAUAUUUCUACUUAUACAAAUAUGCAGGUUUGACAAAGCCACCCACAGAGUAUGUUAAUAAAUUUCAUUAUUCUUGCAGUUUAAUAGGUGAAAAUUUUUAUUUCAUGUUAAGUUUAUUAAAAUUCUUUUACACUUUUAUCUCUGAGGUUGAAUUACCUUUUCAAAUGUUUAAGAGACAUUUGUAUUUCUUUUUUCUUUGAACUACUUGAUUAUAUUAUUUGCCCAUUUGUUGAUCAUGUCAGUGUUUAGAUCCUUAUAUUACUGUUAAUUCUCUCAUUAAAUAUUUUAGUGUCGCCCAUGUGCUAGGCAUUGUUCUAGGUAUUGAGGAUAUACAGUGAACAGUGUAUAAAAUGAACAAAAAUCCCAGCCCUUACAAGUUUAUUCUAGCCUAAGAGUAAUUCGUGGGGAUCUGUUAAACUUUCAGACUUCAGAUUAGCUAUUGUGGAAGGAAUGGAGCAAGGAUCAGCCACCACCCCUGUGACACGCUGCCUCCUUAAUGUCUCUUUAAUUUAAAGGGACCUCCUCAGUCCACCACAAAACAAGUACAAAGUGUAGCUCAGUUUGAAUUGCAGACUGCUAGAAUAAUCUUGUUCUUUUCAGAGCUAUUUUGAUUAUUCAUUGUGUACAUUGUUAUUAAUGAGUCAUUUAAAAAACACAGAAAACCAGCAUCGUUUAAUAUACUGAUAUUUUUUUCUUGAGAGGGGGAAAAAAAAGUGUAGAAAUUUGGGCAUGAUCUUGUCUUAGAAUUGUUUUAUUAGGACUGUCACUCUGCCUCUUUCCUAUAGUGUUAUCCACAUUCUUUUCUAAAAAGCUGAAUGGGUUUCAGGAUGAGAUCUAUGAAAUAUGUAGUGUGUUUUCUCUAAUCCGAAAUUUAAUGGCUGUAUAACUGAUUUUGAGUACAAAUCAUGUUCUUAUGUUCAUGAGAGUUGUAGUGUAUGCUUUGAUUAAAGUUCAAAAUUUAUUUA